rnacentral:misc_RNA from 1 species
GAUGAAGAACGUAGCGAAAUGCGAUACGUAAUGUGAAUUGCAGAAUUCAGUGAAUCAUCGAAUCUUUGAACGCACAUUGCGCCUGCCAGCACUCUGGCAGGCAUGCCUGUUCGAGCGUCAUUUCAACCAUCAAGCCCUAGGCUUGCGUUGGAGCCCUGCGGCUGCCGCAGGCCCCUAAAAGCAGUGGCGGGCUCGCUAUCACACCGAGUGCAGUAGAUUACUCUUCGCUCAGGGCGUGUGGCGGGUUCCAGCCGUGAAACCCCCUACUUCUCAAGGUUGACCUCGGAUCAGGUAGGAAUACCCGCUGAACUUAAGCAUAUCAAUAAGCGGGGGA